AGGAGAUGGCUGUUGUUGGCUGAUGGGGUUGGCUAGCUUGACUUCCGUGCCUGCCUGAACUAACGCGAUGCUCACUUAGAGUGAUUAGGAUGGACUUCUCCCAAGUAUACUUCAAAGUUUCCCAAGAUGCAUUUUGAACCUACAACAACAAAAACCUGAAGCACACUGAGGCUAAAUAUCUCCGUUGAUUCUCCACCUUUGAAAGUUCUGAAAACAUCUUAAGCGAGAAAAUGACCAAGUAGAAUAUCAACAUGUGCUCAUUUGAUCCAUAAAACUCACAAAAACACAUUUCAUGCCGACAUUUUAGAGGUUUUCGGAGACCCAUUAUUGUGCUACUGACUAAACAUCCAGUUAACUUCAAAACAAGAGCCCUAUUUACAAAAGAGUUAAAAAACUAAUGGAAGACAAGAAGAGAUGCUUUUGUUUUGAAAAUGGGAUGUUUGACUUUUAGCUUGAAGCCGGUACCAGGACGAUUUUGUGUUCCGCUCGCAAUGCAUCAUGGGGCAGUUGAGUGCAUACUUAAAAAAUGUAGUAUAUAUCUGGGUAUUUCUCGCGUACUUCCCAUACUAUCGAAUUGGAGCACUACAUACAUAUUUUGACGUCAGACUUAGUGUGAGUAGUACGUUAGUAUGCGAUUUCAAACACAGCCUUUGACCUGUGCACUGAAACCAGAUCAAAUCUGCUCUGUCUUUGUAGUCGAUGCACAAAGUGGACCCCGAGCCCUCACCCGUUGACCAGCUUGCCUCAAUGACUAGCAGCACCUCAAGUGUCAGCAAAAGCACCUCCAAUAAGAAGAAAACGUCCCAGAAAGACGAGAAACGAGCGGCCAAAAAAGAAAAGCAGAAGUCCCGCAUGAAAGCGUCCACUGGAAAAAAAACACCUCCCAGUAAAGGUGGGGUGCCACAAAGUGAAGAGAAACAGCCGAGCACACCAGAGAUGGAGGCUUUGGAAAUAGUGCAUCCUCUACUGGAACCGUCUGUGUAUCCUAUGCAGGGGAAGCUUCUAAUGCCAGGAAACACAACACUCACCUAUCUCAACCUUUCAGGAAAUAAAAUUACAGAGAAGCCGCUGCCACUUUUUCUGGAAUCCCUUGAGAAGAAGAGUGAAGGAAGCAGUCUGACGUGUCUCGGUCUCGAGGUG
rnacentral:lncRNA from 1 species